rnacentral:pre_miRNA from 7 species
UGUUUAUGUAAGACCUCCUUUCAGGGACCCCCACUCUAGUCUCAGGAGAAAGAGAGCACCCAAAGAAACCCAAGAAUCC